rnacentral:rRNA from 1 species
UACGUAGGGUGCGAGCGUUGUCCGGAUUUAUUGGGCGUAAAGAGCGUGUAGGCGGCCAGAUAGGUCCGUUGUGAAAACUGGAGGCUUAACCUCCAGCGGUCGAUGGAAACCAUUUGGCUAGAGUCCGGAAGAGGAGAGUGGAAUUCCUGGUGUAGCGGUGAAAUGCGCAGAUAUCAGGAAGAACACCCGUGGCGAAGGCGGCUCUCUGGGACGGUACUGGCGCUGAGACGCGAAAGCGUGGGGAGCGAACAGG